rnacentral:rRNA from 1 species
UACAGGGGGUGCAAACGUUGCUCGGAAUUAUUGGGCGUAAAGCGCGCGUAGGCGGCUACUUAAGUCGGAUGUGAAAGCCCUUGGCUCAACUGAGGAAGUGCACCCGAAACUGAGUGGCUUGAGUACUAAAGAGGGUCGCGGAAUUCCUGGUGUAGAGGUGAAAUUCGUAGAUAUCGGGAGGAACACCGGUGGCGAAGGCGGCCUUCUGGACAGUGACUGACGCUGAGACGCGAAAGCGUGGGGAGCAAACAGG